UUUUCUUGGCGCCGGUUACUGACGGCGACAGAUUGAGCAGCGGUAAAACUGCGCGCGUCGGGCGGUUGUGUUCGUAGUAUGCUAUCAGAUAAAAGCAGUGCAUCUCCUUUUGCUUGCUAUAUCCUGGUGUUUCAGUAGUGGGUCAAAUCAAAUCUUGAGACACGCAUGUGGUGGAAAAGGAUAGAGAUGAGGGGGGUAGACUUGAGGGCACAAGAAAGGUCAACCAUUUUAUUAUUAGUAUAUAGUAUUAUCAGAUUUUCUUUAGGUUGAAGCAAAUAAAGUGGGGAAAAAAUGUGCCGGCUAACUUUUGCAAAUCAAUGGUGCGAGAGAACUUCGCUCUGUCGAUUUAUGAACUUGUUCUGUUGCUGUCAUUGGUUCGAAAGAUUAAGCAAAGGAAUCAAGGGGGGGAUUUGUCAUGGAAAAAAAAAUUCUUCCUUCUAGUCCCAAAUCCAU
rnacentral:lncRNA from 1 species